rnacentral:lncRNA from 1 species
GAGACCAGUGGAGGGGUGCACGAGAGGAGGAAGAAAGGAGGUGUCGGUGGUGAAGGGGUAAGAAUGGAUGAGUUUUACUACUGUAUAUUCACGGGAGGGGUAAAAAGGUAACUCCCGGGGUCAACCGGUCAGACCGGUCAGGCCAACCGGCCAAACCAGUUUCCACCAGGAAACCAUAGAAAGGUUGAUUUUGAGAUAUUUUGGUCCCACACUUUCUCACAAGAUUGAAUAUAAGAUUUGAAAUAGAUAUUGAUCCAAAGUUGACAUGUUUAAGAAGAAUUUUUGAUUGUCCAAAUAAAU